rnacentral:rRNA from 1 species
UACGGGGGGGGCAAGCGUUGUUCGGAAUUACUGGGCGUAAAGGGCGCGUAGGCGGUUUUCUAAGUUGGACGUGAAAACUCUGGGCUUAACCCAGAGCCUGCAUCCAAAACUGGCAAGCUAGAGUUUUGGAGGGGGAAGCGGAAUUCCUGGUGUAGCAGUGAAAUGCGUAGAUAUCAGGAGGAACACCGGUGGCGAAGGCGGCGUCCUGGACAAAAACUGACGCUGAGGCGCGAAAGCGAGGGGAGCAAACAGG